rnacentral:rRNA from 1 species
CCUACGGGAGGCAGCAGUGAGGAAUAUUGGUCAAUGGGCGCGAGCCUGAACCAGCCAAGUCGCGUGAGGGAGGACGGCCCUACGGGUUGUAAACCUCUUUUGCCGGGGAGCAACGGGCGUCACGUGUGGCGCCCCUGAGAGUACCCGGAGAAAAAGCCUCGGCUAACUCCGUGCCAGCAGCCGCGGUAAUACGGAGGAUGCGAGCGUUAUCCGGAUUUAUUGGGGUUAAAGGGUGCGUAGGCGGCUCGUUAAGUCAGGGGUCAAAUUGAGGGGCUCAACCCCUUCCCGCCAUUGAAACUGGCGCUCUUGAGUGGAAGAGAAGUAUGCGGAAUGCGUGGUGUAGCGGUGAAAUGCAUAGAUAUCACGCAGAACCCCGAUUGCGAAGGCAGCAUGCCGGCUUCCGACUGACGCUGAAGCACGAAAGCGUGGGGAUCGAACAGGAUUAGAUACCCUUGUAGUC